rnacentral:rRNA from 1 species
UACGAGAGGCGCAAACGUUAUUCGGAUUUACUGGGCUUAAAGAGUUCGUAGGCGGCGCAGAAAGUAGGGUGUGAAAGCCCUCGGCUCAACCGAGGAAUUGCGCUCUAAACUACUGUGCUUGAGGAACCUAGAGGUGAGCAGAACUGAUGGUGGAGCGGUGAAAUGCGUUGAUAUCUACAGGAACUCCGGUGGCGAAAGCGGCGUGCUGGACCUUUUCUGACGCUGAGGCGCGAAAGCUAGGGGAGCAAACGGGG